GUUUUUGCCUGACUGGAAUGUGUCCUUGAACUAUGAUAAUGCCUCCAGCUUGCCUGGAUGAAGAGAGAUGUGUGGAUGGUCAUUUGUUCAGAAGCUUACUCAUUAUUUUGUGACAUUCCUAAUAUAUGCCUUGCUGUUGAUUUUAGAUUAGUAGUAGUAAACGUAUUAUGGUGCAGUGUGGAAUCAGUGGAAUAAUUUACCAUCUUUCUUGAAGAAUUCUCAGAAAAAUGUUCAUAUUUUUCAAAGAAUUAUAUCCCAGCUCAAAAUAAUAAUGUCAGCACACGUCCAUUGAAGCCUUAUCGUUUUCAUCUGUUUUUCCUUAAAGUUCUGUACAGUGGUACCUCGGGUUACAUACGCUUCAGGUUACAUUCGCUUCAGGUUACAGACUCCGCUAACCCAGAAAUAGUACCUCGGGUUAAGAACUUUGCUUCAGGAUGAGAACAGAAACCGUGCUCCGGCAGCGCAGCAGCAGCCCCAUUAGCUAAAGUGGCUUCAGGUUAAGAACAGUUUCAUGUUAAGAAUGGACCUCCGGAACGAAUUAAGUACUUAACCCGAGGUACCACUGUAUACUGAUCACAGCACAGAGUUGUGCAUUCUGUGUGAUAUUGACACAGUUAAGGAAAAUUCACAAGCUUCGGGGGUAAGAGUGCUGUGCAAUCCCUGAGUUUGUCUGUCCAAGCUUAGGGAAGCUCCCCGAUCCAAAUGAGCUGGAGUUUAGGCUUCUUUCUUUUUAUAUACUCUUUAAGAACUUUUCCCUAGCAUUAUGUGACUAAUAAAACCCCUGCCACCAGCUUUAACUGCAGACACCAGCAAGACCCCUGCCCUAGUCCUUCUCUCUGCUCUAAUUAUUUUCAUAUUGACCAGGGAGUUUUGAGCAAAUAAGUUCAGGGAUUGCCUUGCUCCCCAGGCUUGGGUAGCUAUGCCAUAUGGAACUGCAUUGUUCUUAAGGGCUUCUGUGCAAGUCUGCCUGAACUAUCAUUAAUAGUACUUGGACUAACCCCGCCCCCCCGGCAAAAAAAACCUCCACUUUAUUAUUUAUUUGCAAUUUGCUUAGUUCACUUGAACAUACCUUGGCACAAAUACUUUACAAACCUGCCUGGACAGUCUUAAUGGUGAUCACACAUAGGUAAAAUUUUAUUUUACAUUUCAAUCCAAAGAACUUCUCAGCGAAAUGAUGCUCAGUUUGUAAUAUAAUCCAGAAGAACCAGUACCGUGAAAGAUGUAAUUAUGGACCCUACAGUGACAUCACUUAGUAAAAUAUAAAAUUAACAAUACAAAGUCACAAAAUAUUGUUUUCUGCUGAACGGAAAACUUGUUAUAGUCUGAUCUUGUCUUUCCUUAUUGCUCCGUGGUCUGCUUUGAAUCCCACUAUCCUCUUUCCUGUCUUUUGUUGCCUCUCUGCUCAUUCCUUCCUUGUAAUAAUUACACAUAGAUUCUAAACCUCUGAUAGAGUUUUAACAAAAAGAUUUGUAAAUCUCUGAUCUAAUAAAAAUUAAGUUGAUAUUUUACCUAUAAUUUGCCUUUGUGACUGAUAGUUGUUGGCAUAGUGUGACCCUGAUAAACCUAUCUUUCUGUCUCAGCCGUCUUCUUGUUGCUGCAAACAGACACAAAUUACCCUCAUUUCGGGGGGGGGGGGGCUUCAUUGUUGAAAUCAAUACAACAUGAAUGGAAAAACUCAAAUUAUUAGAACUCUAUUUUCCUCUUUUCAGUAAUGGUGCUGGGAAGAAUUGAUUGAGCUUUGGUGUUGCAUUUUAAACAGCCAUUCCCACGCAGUUUGUUCAUAUAUAUUUUUUCUGGUGCCUUCUUUUUUGUAGUAAAACUUCAAGACCCAUUUAUGAUGAACAAAUACAAAUGGCAAUCUUGAAUACUGCUUGUGGUGUUUGGUAAUGUAAGACCUCUCAUCAUAGCUAUUACCUUAGCUGUAUGAUAAUGGAAAUAGCUGUGCUUGGGAACCAAGAAUUUAUUACAGCAACAGUGCACUACUAUGCUGUGCAUGGGUGUUGGUUUGCUAAAGGCAGCGUGGAGACUGAUGGAGAUGGUAUUGCUGUUGCAUUGAAUUGAUAAAGCAGCACUAUUCACCAUACUUCACUUGCUAGGCAGGAGUAACUGGCUUCACAAAUGUAAGAUGGGGGACACAUGGUUUGCUAGUAGUACAUGUGAAAAUGAUCUAGGGGUCUUAACAUGCUUAACAUGAGUCAACAGUGUGAUGCAGUAACAAAAAAGGUUAAUGCUAUUCUAGACUCCUUCAACAGAAGUAUAGUGUUAACAUCAAGGGAAGUAAUAGUACCACUCUUUUCUGCCUUGGUCAGACCACGCCUGGAAUACUGUAUCCAAUUCUGGGCACAAUUUAAGAAGGAUGUUGACAAGCUGGAACGUGUGUAGAGGAGGGCAAACAAAAUGACCUGGCACCUGGAAACCAAGUCAUAUGAGGAAUGGUUGAGGGAGUUGGUAAGUUUAGAUUGGAAAAGAGGAGAGUGAGAGGAGAUAUUAUAGCUAUCUUCAAAUAUCUGAAGGGCUGUCACAUAGAAGAUGGAGCAAGCUUGUUUUCUCCUGCUCCAGAAGCUUGGAUCCGAAACAGUGGUUUCAAGUUACAAGAAAGGAGAUUCCGACUAAACAUAUAGAAAAACAUUCUGACAGUAAGAGCUGUUUGACAGUGGAUUGAACUCCCAUGGGAGGUUGUGGACUCUCCUUCCUUGGAGGUUUUUAAGCAGAGGAUGGAUGUCUAUCUGUCAUAGAUAUUUUAGUUGAGAUUCCCACAUUGCAGAGUGUUGGACUAGAUCAGGGUUCUUUCCAACUUUAUCAUUCUAUGCUAGGUGUACUGUAGAUUGGAACAUACCAGCCAAGCGAGGGGAGAAGCUAUUUUAUCCUGAACCUGAGAGAAUUAGAAUAGACUUUGCAUCCCAUCUUCCUAGCCUUACUCAGAACAGUGCAGCAAGCCACAAAGAGGAUAAUAGAGAAAUGUCCACAUUUUCAAACCUCAGUAACCAUGUUGGUGUUGAAAUAUAUAUGAUACAGUAUUUAAUUAGCCAUGUAGUUCUUUUUUAUUAUUCAACUCCUCUAAGUCUUGAUGAGAAUUUAGCAUAGAUCAUAUUGGCUUGCAAUUGGUUCUUCUAGAGGGAGUUCCAUAACUGUUUCUCAGGAGCUGUAUGAAAAUCUCAAACUUUAUUUCGGUAACCGACCAACAUAAAAUGAAUCAGACAGAUAAACUGAACUUAAAACAGGUAAGGGAUAAAAACUAGUAGUUAAAAGGUGAUUAUAUCAUACAUAAGUUAAAAAGAUAGAAACAAAGACAAACUGUUAAAAGUGACUAUAAGGGCGGGAGCGUGAAGGAGCCCAGGUCUUGCAUUUUGGGUCUAGUUUGUGGCGCAAAGCAUCUUUCAACAAAUAACCAUCAUGGCAGUACAGAAUCUGGCAACUGAGUAUGUAAAGGCUUCUCGGCCUUUACACUUGCUAACAUCAAGUGUAGUAUCUGACUCUCUAUCAGAUAUUCACACUUCCACUGAACAGUCAAAGAACAACACUAACAGAUUAGCAGGCAAUUGUUUCCAUAUUUAAUUUAUGUCAUGCAGUAGUACCUUGGUUUUCAAACAAGAAUGCAUUCCAAAAGUCUGUUUGACUUCCAAAACAUUUGGAAACCAAGGUGUGGCUUCCACACCUUGGUCCUGCAGCCAAUUGGAAGCCACGAAAGUCACGCCAGAUGUUUGGCUUCCGAGGCAAAGUUUGCAAACCGGAACACCUACUUCUGGGUUUAUGACGUUCGAGUUGUUCGUGAACUAAGUUGUUUGAAAACCAAGGUAUGACUAUAUUACAUCUGCUACCUGUUUUGAGUUUUGUAAUUGGUUUACCAAUGCCAGGUACAUUUGCGCUACUAUCAACACUGCUUUGUGAAUGGUCACUAUGAUGAUUUUACAUGCAUGUAAGUUUUAACAUAAUGGUCACAGACUCAUGUUGUUUGCAUUUCAUUUCCCUCUGUCCUCACUGAUUACAGUUUACCCCUUCAACAAUCAUGUGUGUUUGUAGACAUAUAUAAUGCUGCAUGCAUCUAAUGAAGUGGAUUCUUGCCCAAAAAAGUAUUCCAUAAUAAAUUCAUUAAUUUUUAAGGUUCCAAAAACUCUUGGGCAUGUUAGCACAUAACUAUAAGUCAAGAGUGAGGAAACUAUAACCCUCCAGAUGCUAUUGGACUACAACUAUCAUCCCUGACCAUUGAUCAUGCUGGUUGGAACUGAUGCGACUUGUGGCUUUCUAACUGUUUUUGGAAUACAAGUUCCCCAUCCCUGCUAUAAGCUAUGAAUUAAGCCUUAAUAAACCUAAAUGUGAAAAAGCAGCAUAUUGGUGCAUGCAGUCCAUUCAUUCCUCCCUUUGUGUAAACUGGGUAUGGAUUAUUUUGUGCUAUGUCUGAACCUUGUUUGUUGCUCCCAAGCAAGCCAGAAUUCGUAAGUCAACCACAAACUCCAGUUUAAGGGUUAGAGUCCUGGCUUGUUUGGCAACAACAAACCAGAAUCCUUGGUUCAGACAUCAUAUGAAGCUAUUCAUUCCUGGUUUAUCUGCUCAUGCAGUGAGGGGAGGAAAAGGCUACAAGCACUAUCAUGUUGCUCAUUUAAUAAACCAAGUGUGGCCUUUGUUGUUUUUUGCUGCAAUAGAUGAACAUAGCUACCCCUCUGAAAACUAAGCUCUGUUGUUCUGCAGUUAAAAACCUCUGGUGGGUCAGCACCUUGGUCUGGAUAAGUGACUAGACUAUCAAUUCUAUGUGCAUAUUUUCCUUUCAUGGCUCAUUUUCAGAUUUUGGUCCCUGGAUCUUAGGCAUCCAUUUUUCGAAGAAGAGGAUGAGAGUUUUCUCUCAGCACAUCUGAAAGGCUAAUAAUAUAAGAUUGUUGAGAUGCCUAUGAUUCUCCAAGCUGAGUUAUUUCUCAGACAGUGUGACCUGGGAUUCUACAGAGGAUAGUCUGCCCUCCUGUUUCUCAGUACUAUCUGCAGAGAGAUGAUCUGUUUGCUACCUCCGUGUCGUUUUCAACUAACUCUUUGAUUUGAUUGCUGAUUAUGGUCAGAUUACUUUAAAAAUGUUCUGGAAUUUUCUGAAAUGAGAUUCUAGCCCAAGUAAUAGGUUACCUGUUAUUUUCUUUGGUAUUUGUGACCCCCAUCUCAUAGUGUGUUUAUUAGGUUCUCCCUUUUCUCAUUUUGCGGCUAUGUUCAUUUCUUCUGGUCUAGUUCCCGUUAUAUUUUGAAGCGACCAUUAGUGAAGAGCCUGACCAAUAGAUCAGGGUCAAUCCAUGAUCAGCUAAUAGAUAAAACGAUUUUGUUGGGGAAAGAACAAUGACUUACAGAGAAAUCAGUUAAGUGAGCUCUCACAAUAUUUCAGGCAAGGUGGGGAGGAACAGAGUUUUGUCCAAAUGUCUCCUGGCAUGUUUGAGUAGAGCACAGGUGAGGACCCGCAGCCCUCAGCCUAGUUGCACACAGCUGAGGGGAGCCCUCAGGGGCCUGGGGCUGUUUCUUCAAUGUUUUAAGAGGAAAUGAGAAAAUACAAAGGUUAAUUUUCAUUGCAAUGCAAUAUCUACCAUGAAUUGUACGGCUGAUUCAAAAAUCCAUUGCACUGUUUGGUUUAGUAUUGUAGCCAUUUAUUGUACAAUUCCUAAUAAGUGGCUUGAGGCUUAUUAUGGAUUUAAUUGAGAUGCUCAGGCCAUUUUACAGUGCCUCAGGUGUCAAACAUCUAUUUUCCUGUUUAGCUGGUAACUGUUUCUCAGAGACUAGUAUGCGCUAAUUACAGAUGCAUAUUGAAUCUUUUGUGGAAAGUUCUGUCUUGUUUAAACAAGACUGUUAGACAACAACAGUGUGGACGGAUUUCUGAAGGAGGAUAGGAAGGUUGCAGAAUUAUUACAAUCAGUCUUUACCAUGGAAGAUGUUGAACAGAUACUCCGCCUGAACAAGUAUUUUGAUGGAGAGCAUUUGAAGCACCAAGUUGAAAAGAGGUGACAAGGAAUGAAAUUCUAAGGCUAAUUGACAGAUUAAAAAUCUAUGUCAUUGGAUCUGGAUGGCAUACACCCAAGAGUUCUUAAAUCAAGUGUGAAAUUGCUGAUCUUCUUAAGAGAAAAAAAUGUUUUAGGUUGUCGCUAAUAUCAGAUUCCGUACCUAUGGAUAAAAAGGUUCACUGACAUAAUGUCAAUUUUUAGAAAAAGAUCCAAACGUGGUAGGCAGGCCCCAGGUAAAUGGCUAGAAAGGAUUAGUUGUUGGCAUCCAUCUAUCUUGGGAGAAAAUGGAAGAGUGCACUUUCCAGGGGCACAGUCAAACAGUCGGAGAGUUACAGCACCUGCUGUGACUGUAAAGACUGAUAUGGGAGAGAUAUGUCUUGUUGCAGCUAGGGUAGAUGUUUCUUUUUUCUGCGCUCCUCCCAGCUAUCAUUCCUCAUUUGGUCACAUGACCUGACUGAAGUCUGACCCACAGAACAGGCAAAGUUGGAGUGAUGGUAAGAGAGCAAUAGCUGUGAAUAACCUAGCUCCCUUUAAACAUCCAGGUAUUAAAUCUACAUAAUUAAAGCUCUCUGUGUAAACAGUUGGUUGCAUGCUUAGUUAGAAAAGUAUUAACAUGCCUGUUUUGUAUAUUCUGUGUGGUUUUUCUCAGUUUUCGUUCUGUGUGGUUUUUCUCAGUUUUAGAAUAAUUCUCUUUUAGGUUAGGUUGCAUUUGCUUUGCCUUUUGGAAUUCAAAAGACUGCACCCGAAGACUUCUAAAAGAUCCAAGCCUUUUAAAGACCCAAAACUUCUAAAAAGAUCAGAGAGUAGCUGCCCUACAAUGUAACUUUGCUUGCUGCACAAGUUUACUAUCUAAAAUUGUUACAGUUUGGAGGGUUUAUGUUUACAAGCAUAUAUGGAAUACAAUUUGUAAGGGAUUCUUAUGAAUUUAAGAAGUGCCCUGUAUGAUCAAGUCCUCUCCCCGCCCCCUACUCCCAGCGUUCAAGAGCUAAGGCUUUUUGAAACUAACACUUCUGCACCCUUCCUUAAUAACUGACCUUUUGUUACCUAAUAGAGUUGUUGAAUCCCCCCUUUAGACCUAUUUGGCAGUGUUAAUUCAACUCUGCUUUGUAGUUAGCUUUAUCUCUUUCCUGCAGCUGUGUCUUAUGCUCUCAGUUCUCUUUUGUCUUUUGCUGGUCUCCAUUUCCAGACCAGCUAUUUUUUUGUUCUCCCGUAGCAUUUUAAGAAGCAACCCUGGUAUGCCCUCAUGCUCUUGUGUUCAUGCUUUGCAGCUCAGUGGGCUCAUUGUACCUUCAUAGAACCACAGAAUCUUAGAGUUGGAAGGGAGCCAAGAGUCAUCUAGUCCAUCCCCUCAGUUUCUUCAUCCAAGUAAUUUAUGAAGGCAUUGAGCAACAACAGCCCCAGGACAGAACCCUGUGGCACCCCACUAGUCACUUUUUUCCAGGAUGAUGUGGAGCCAUUCAUGAGUACUCUUUGGGUUCGGUCAGCCAAUCAGAUACAAAUCCACCUAACAGUUACCUCGUUCAACCCACAUUUUACCUGCUUUCUCGUGGGAAUAUUGUGGGGGACUUUGUCAAAAGCCUUACGGAAAUCAAGAUACAGUAUGUCCACAGCAUUUCCCUGAUCCACCAAGUUUGUAAUUUCAUC
rnacentral:lncRNA from 1 species